GGAGCCCACAUCAGAAGAUUUCUGUACAGUUUCUUUGAGUGUGGCUUCUUUCACUUGGCGUAAUACAUCUGAGAUCAUCUGUGAUGCCUGAAUAGCUGUUCAUUCCUUUUUCCUGCUGAGUAGUAUUCCAUGAUGAGGCACCUGCUGCUCAAAGAAGUGAAGAAACUUGCUCGAGAUCACGAAGUCAUCAAGUGGAGGAGUUGUAUUUGCACUUAGAUGGUCUCACCCUCCAGUCUUAAACAUUAUUCUGUGUUACCUCCCAAGAAGAGGGGUAUUCCCCACGUGGCUCUGCUGUUAAAGAUAGGAUGAGGUCUCUGGGAAGGAGAUGACCUCCUGAGGGCCACGCAUGUGAAGAAAGAGGAAGUGGCGGAGGAGCAAGAAGGAGAAGAUAUGGCUAUCAGUUCAGGAAGUGCUCUCCGGUCUAUUCCCACGAGGUAGAUGCUGUGAUGGUCUUCCCAUCAGCCGUGCUGGGAAAGAACUGAAUUCUGUUCCAUGGAUCACCUGGCCUGGUCUCCACAAAAGCUCUGGAGUGAGCAGGAGUGGGCUGCUGACUCCACAACCACAUGAGAUGAGGAUUCUGAGGGACAGGGAAGUCACCAGACUUGCCCAAGGCCUUUCAGCAAGCAAACUGCAGACAGUGCUCAAAGGCAGACACCAUUGCCUGUAGAAGACUGUGUCUGAGGGCGGCCUUCGUUUUCUUCCUCCAAAGUGAGAUGAACAAGUGAUGGUUAGUGCCUGUAUGUUCCUGACAUCAGUUUCUUUUUGACAUAAUUAGAAGGAUUAAACAACGAAGAACAAAGCAAUGAAGAGGAAAUGCACUUAUCACCAUGUAAUUCAGUGCUAUUUAAUGCUCUAAAGGUAUCAAUAAAUCAUUUCAUAUGUCCCAGGAGUUCCAUUCCCUGUGAACACCAUGCUAUUAGAUGCUGUUGCCCAAUAGCAUCUAUUGUUAUCCAGUAGUGUCUAAUGGCAUCAAGACAGGUAUGUCUAGAUUCCCCAAGUCUGUCUAGCACACAAAGACCAUGGACUCUGGAGCCAAAUGCCUGGUCUUGUAUUGCAGUUUGGGUACUUACUAACCAUUCACCUCAGAGAUGUUACUUUAUCUCUUUUGCCUCAGUUUUCUCAUCUGUAAAAAGAGGACACUCAUAGUAAUUAUCUCAAAUAACUGUUGUGAGGAUUAGAUGCACAGUGAAGCCCUUAAAAUAACGCCUGGCAUGUAGUAAGUGCCAUAUAAAUAAAUACUAGUUCUACCAUUAGUGCAAGUUUGUGUGCCCAGCACCCAGUGAGGCCAAAAAGAAACUUUGGAGUUUGGAGCAGAGAAAGGCUUAUUGCGGGCCAUGCAAAGGGGUGGGUGACUUGUGUCCACCAAAUAUCCCUAACUCCUGGAGCCAAAUUUGUAAAGCAUUUUUUUUUUUAAAGCCAGAUAAGGGAGGCAGGAUUGCAGGGUAAGUGAUCAACAAGCACAAUUGUCUGAUUGGCUGAUGCAGAAAUAACAAUCCUUAGGCUCCUAGUCAGGGAAGAGGAGAGUUGUGUGCUCAUGGUCAAGUAGUUAACAUCUUCCAUUUGGUUGGGGAGGAUUCUCACACUUGUAAAUCAACUCAGGAAGUGGGCAUCAGUGUUACUUAGGUACUUCAGAGAGGAGCUAAAGCAGGGGACAGGAAAGGGCCUGCCUAGGGAAGACAUUAAGUCAGUCCUUGCCUAUGACUCAUGCAGUAAGUCUUCAGCUGUUCAAGGAGUACUACCCAGGUCCCUUUCUUUCCUGAAUCCCUAGGCUAAUGGAUCUCAAUGCUAGAAUCUUCUCAAAGGAGAAUGAAGGAGCUGGGAGGGAAGAGCUCUAAAGGAUGGGGACAUUUCUCUGGGGGGAGCCUGCGUUUGCGUGGCUCCUGCUUUGUGCCAGGCACUUUGACACGCCACCUAGAUGAUCUCUCCCAUAAACCUGGAGUUGGUGCUAUUCUUCAAAUAUUUCCUGUUCCCUGCCUUCCUCAAACAGGCUAAGAAAUUAGGUGUAGCCAUGUGAACGUGAUUUUCUGUGAGCUGUGAAAUGUAAGUAAUGAAAGGCAGAGCAGGCAGAAACUUUCAGAGCUAGUGGGUGAGUCACCACAUCCCCUUUUUUCCUACUUCAAUAAUCAGGGGAAUAUGGGGUUCUGGGGUAAGUGUGACAUGAGUGAGAGUUCCCAGCCAACACAUGAUGGAAAGUGUGGCAGAGGAAAAAAAAAAAAAAAGCUUUGUUGCUUAAAGCCAUUAAAAUUUUAAUACUCCAGCAAAACCUGCCCUAUACUGGCUGAGACAGACCCCCAGUGCUGACACAACUAGCAAGAAUUUUUGCAUCUAGUGGGAAUUUGCUGCCCUUGAGUUCAAACUAGAGCCUGAGUCCAGGCUUCAAUUGGGGGCAGGGCGGGGCAUGUAGCACCGGUAACCACCCCUACUGUACUCUGUCUCACUUCUCCCCUGAUCAGGAUCUAAUAAAGAGAUCAAGGAACUUGGGCUCACAGUCCUUCCUUGGGUGCCAUCUUCCUGCAGAAGCUUGAGAGACACUUUCCCCUCUGGGUCUGUUUCUUUCUGAACCUCUGAUUCUUGAUAAAGCUCAGGGAAAAAUAGAGUCCCACAGCCAUUGUCUUAGGCUCCUAUUUGCUCUCUGAAUCUCCCUUACUUCCCCUCUUGUACUCAAAACAUUCCAGAGACAGGAAAUUUACCAGCCUCAUCAUUAAUGAACAUGAAUCUAGGCAACGUUACAUGAGACUUCCCAUGCUAUUGGACUGAGCACUUGACUUACCUGAAAGGUGAAUGACUUUGAAGAUCCUCCUUUUGUAGGUUGACAGUAUAAUUUAUCACCCUAACCAGGACAUGUUCAAGAAUAAAAGGAGAUAAUAGUAAAAAUUAUACUGGAACAAGAGUUUUAAAAUAGAACUCUUCUGGGAAAACCAGGAUGGAUGGUUACUUGGCUUCUAUGAUUCUAUGGCCACCACAAAUGGCCCAAAUUAAAUUCCAUGGGUAGGACUGAGUCCUAUCUCUGGUAACUCAGCCUGACUUUUGGUCUACCCUUCCCCCAAACUCUUGACAACCAAUCUUCUUUGGAUCAUGCCCUGUUCUCUAACCAACUCUCCUGUGAGACUUUAGGCCAGAGCCAUUUUAGAGGGAAAGCAUGUACAUAUAGCUUGUGUGUAUCACUUCAAGCAGUUUACCCCAUAGAUGCUUCAUAUUCCUAACUACUAUCUUGAGCAGAUACAUAUUUAAUGCCUUCUGAUGGAGACACAGAUGUAAAUUGUUCAACCCUUCCUGGAGCUUUACAGUGUCGCAAGGUCCCAGCACAGUUGCUGUUAGAAUUACUGGAAUGCCUGAAGCUACACUCAGUGUCCCCAUAAGACCCAGACUCUCAGGAAACUUACUCACGAGGUAAUAGAAGGAGAGGCAGGGCUUAUUAAGUUUCCCUCUGCAGGCUGGUUGAUUGCAAUUCUGCCUUGGGCAUGGGCUUAUUUGCAUAGUUGAUUUAUAGCUUUAAUUUGAAUAUUACAGUUACUUCCCAUAAACCAUUGCUUUGGUCUCUCUUUGGGUUUUUCUUUUAAACACCCACCCAAUACCACACAGAACCCAAUGAGCCGGAAGCCUCUACUGUGAGAGGAUUUACAUUCCUCCGUCCACUGGGACAGAGGAAUAUAGAAGGUGGAGAGUGGAAAAUGAACAAACUGUUAAAUUUCAGAAAUGCUUGAUUCCUACUCCAGGACAAUCUGCCAGUUAUACACAAAGUUAAGCACACUCAGCUUCAAGAAUCUUUGAUAGUUAUGGUUUGUUUUUAUUGUUGCUUCUCUAAGGGACAUUUUCUCUUAAAGGUGCCUCUUCUUUCUUUUCUUUGUUUCCAAAAAAUAGCUAAAAUUUCCUGAAUGCAUUCUGUAUGCUAAGCACCAAAUUGCUUAAUCAGAUUACAGUAGUGCAAAAGGCAAGCUGGUCCUGGCCCUCAGAGAGAUUAUACUCCUGUCAGACAAGACAGAUGUCAAAGAAACACAUUUCAUUAAUUAAUUAUGUAUCCCAAAGACGACUACUUUUCCCACUCUUUAAGAGGUCUGAGCCUCAGUAGAUGUGUGUGUGUGUAUAUAUACACAUAUAUAUGUAUGUAUGUAUAUACACAUAUAUGUAUGUAUGUAUACAUAUGUAUGUGUGUGUGUACAUAUAUAUAUAUAUAUACACACGUGUGUGUGUGUGUGGUGUGUGUAUUUGUGUGUUUCAGAUGAUAAUCAAAGGGAGGUUUUGAUCUUACAUCUCUUCUAUGUUGGGCACUUGGAAGCUGUUCUUUAACCUAAGAUACUCUGCUUGGUUUCUCCUGUGGCCCCUGCUCAAUUUACAGUUCUCCUCUGGAGCUUUGGGGUCUUAUCCAUAGGAAUCUCUGCCCUCGUAAUGUGUAUCAGAGACCAAAGUAUCCUUUGCCUUUAUUGUAGAGUCUUUUCAAUCUUCCAGUUAAUGUUGGUAUGGAGUUUUUACUGAAGAUUUUACUGAAAACCUAUUUUUUAGAUGAUAAAAAAUAUGGUAGGAUGGCUACCAUGAUAAAAUUUUAAUAUGUUUUAGGUAAUAAAUAUGGUAGGAUGGCUUGUGACAGAUCAAUACAUUCACCAAGAAUGGUGGGAAAAGUUGGACACACAUUUUAAAUAUAAUCUAUUUGAAAGCACCAAGGAGAGUCUAAGCUUACAAGAACUUGAGAGGUUAAGAUGCAGGAAUGUGAGUCUGACAUAGUUAUUCCCUUGAGGCAUUUACCAUUUUUUUAAAGCUAUAGAGAGAGAGCUUAAAGACAGCAGAAUGAGCUGAAAAAAGAAGUGGCACUUUCAGCAAUUUAACAUUACAGAAGAUAUAAAAAAUUGAAAUUCAAGAACUCUAAGGUUGAGGAAUCAUGGAAAAUACCCAAAGCCUUAGGUAGGACUCUUUAAGAACCACAAAGUAAAAGUAGCAUUGAAUCAAAGCUAGACCAGGCCUUCCAAAGUCUAAAACUGAGCCUCAGGGAAACAAAUUCCCUCAUUGGUUCUGCCCCCACAUGCCAGGAGGUUCAAGCUACCUGCCAGGAAGUUAGGCUGAAUAUAUUCUCAGUUGGUAAACUGGAAGGAAUAUGAAUAGAAAGCAUCCAUUCAGAGCAUAAAUAAAGCAUAACAAUGGAAUAAGAGACAUAGAGGGCAUGGCAUAUGGUCUAACACUCAUGUAAUUAAAUGCACAGAAGGGCAGGGAGGACAAAAUAGUGGCAGAAACAAUGUUUAAAGAGAGAGUGACAGAGAAUUUAUCAAAGUUUAUGAAAGACAUUGAGCCAUAGUUUCAAGAAUCUCUACUAACCUCAAGCAUGAUAAAAUUAAAUGAAAGCACGUGUUUUAGAUACAAAAAAAAAAGGUAAAUAAAACUGCUGAAAACCAAAGGAAACAGAAAAUAUUAAAUGUGAUCAGACAAAAAAAAAUUACCUUUUAGGAUCAAUAAUGUGUGACAGCUAAUGUCUCUACUGAAACAAGGGAAGAUCCCCAGUGUUAUUUCUUCUAGAACAUGUUCCUCCACUCUCUCAUUUUUUUUUAUGUAUGUGGGAGGUUGGUUAUGUUUCUUGACCUUGGAGAAGUGACCCUCUGUAGGGAUGUCCUGUGUGUCCCAGCAGUACACUCCCCUCUCAUCCAUCACCCAGUGGCCAGCAAGAUAGGGUCUGAUCUGUAUUUGUAGACUGGGUUCUGCAGGCUGCUUGAUUGUAGUUUUCUUGCUUCUGGUGUCUGCCCCCUGCUGGGUGAGGCUGGCCUAGAAGCUUGUGCAGGCUUCCUGGUGAGAGGGGCUGGUGCCUGCCCACUAGUGGGUGGGCUGGGUCUGGGCCUUUUGGCAGUCAGGCUUAAAGACCUGUCUGGAUGCACCUGUGGAAAGGAAGUCUUUAAGCAGCACGCCUGUGGGGGUUGGGGAGGGGAACUGUGUUUCCACCCAAUCAGUGGUUUAGCCUGAGGUUUCCCAGUAGCAGAGCCUGUGGGGGCAGGUCCUGGCACCAAAAUGGCGGCCUCUGAGACCGUUCAGACUGAUGAUUAUUUCCCAGUACCUCUGCCACCAGUGUCCUUGUCCCCACAGUGAGCCACUGCUGGCCCCAGCCUCCUCAGGAGAAACUCCAAGACCAGCAGGUAGGUCUGGCUCAGGUUCCUGUGAAGUUACUGCUUUUGUCCUGGGUCCCCUGGUGCAUGCAAGACCUUGUAUGCACCUUUCGAGAAUGGAGUCUGUUUUUCCCAAUCUUGUGGCUCUCCUCCACUCAAGCCCAGUUCGCCUUCAAAACUGAAGGCUCUGGGCUCCUCCUCCUGAUGCCAGACCUCAGGCUAGGGAGCCUGACGUGGGGUUCAGAAUGCUCUCUCUUGUGGAUAUGAUUGUUCUCCAGCUUGUUGGAUUGCCCACCUGGGGAUUAUGGGGCUUGAUCGUAUUGGGAGUGUGCCUCUCUUACUGUCUCGUUGGGUUUCUUCUUUAUGUCCUUGGAGGUAAAAUAUCUUUUUUGGUGGGUUCCAGUUGUUUUAAUCAAUGUUUUUCUUAGCAGUUAAUUGUGAUUUUGGUGUGCUCAUGAGAGGAGUUGAGCUCGUUGCUGAAACUUGGCCUCUGUGCACUGGUGCUGAAUAGAAACGCGGAGACAAGAGUUUGGGGUGAAGGAGAAAAAGAUAGCUUUUAUUGCUCUGCCAGGCAGAGGGGCCACAGCAGGCUAAUCUUUAAAGACUGUGUCCACCAUUGGGAAGAACUGUGGGGCGUUUUAUAGUAAAAAGGAGAAAAACAGGCUUUCAGAUAGGAACCAGGAUUGGGGCAAACACGCAUUCUUUCUUUGGGUGAAUAGUAGUCAUCAAAACUGGCAUCAGAUCUUGGCAUGAUCCUUGUGGUGGUCUUCUGGGUUAUUGCCUAGAACAACAGUACUUGAGAAAAUGGCAUAUUGAUCAGAGAUUAGAACAAACUAGGAAAAUCCCUGAAAAACAUCCUGUGCUAAUAAUCUUUUAACCACCCACAAUUGUGCUCAGCACGCCUCAUCUUCAGCUUACCGGUGUUUGUGUUUAGGAAGCAAUUAAGCCAGGAGAACCACGAGGAAGGUCUCCAAGCAGUUCAAAUUUAAAAUAUUCAUUCCUAAAGAAGCAUAAGGAAUAUAACUUUUCUCUUAGGUAUAAAACCCCUACAACAUCAUGUGUGUCCCUCGAGAGGGAUCCAGAAUCCUGCCCCAAGGCCGUACUAUUGUUGCUUGACUGUUCCUCCCUUGUCUUUGCAUCCCCUUCCUCCUCUGAUCAGCAAUAUCUGAACCUGCCUCUUGGAACUCAGGCAGGCCAUGGAAGCUGAAUGAGCCCCAUUUCCUAAGAAAUGGGGACACAGGUUUUUGUGCCCAGGGGCCCCAGAGGGCCCUGCUUGGUUACAAGCUCAAGCCUACAAACCACCAUCUUGUUCUGGUGGAAGAAUCCCAGGUUCGGGCAGGGGACAGGCAGAGUGCUGGCAAUAUCUGGAUAUUGAUCGGCACUUUACAGACUCUUCUCAAUGGUUUUCUUUUCUAAGCUUCAAAGCUUCCAAGCGCUUGGCAGCUGGGAAGUGAAAGGCAGAGGGAAGGAGUGUGGGGCAGGAGAAGCCCCUAGACAUGUGUAGUGGGGGUGACUGGCCUGAGGGAGCCGGUCGUGCUUGGCAGGCUAAAUUUAAGGUCUAGGUUCUUUUCUACUCGUCCAAAAGAAUGUGGACAGGAAAUGCAAAGGAGUAGCACGCAGAGACUGAAGUGUAGUGAUAAGCAAAGAAGCAAUUUAUUAAAGGGCCAAGUGAAAGCAUGCACUGAGAGAAGAAUGCUGGCCUCCCCCCCAGUGAGGAGCACCUUUGGGGGGUUCUGACCCCCUCUUUUACUUCAUGUUAGUUCCUUGACUGGGUGGAGAUUUCUUAGAUUAGCGGUGUGAUAGUCGUUGAUGGGAAGGUGGAGGCUUUGCAGUGAUUGCACUUGUUUACAUCAGCUUCCAUUCUCACAUGCUCAUCCCCUGAAGCCACAGCACCUGUGCUCUAAAAGCCAUUUUUUUCCCUUAAAUUUUCCUUUGUGAGUCAAGGAUCACCUGUGGAAGGUCGUAGAACGGUCAUUUGUAGCCUGAGUUUCCGUUGCGCAUGUUCAGCCAUGCUCUCUGGUGUUUACCGUCAGAGUUCCCUAUUCAGGCAUCACAAAGUUUAAUCAAGGCUUAAGUGUUUUGCCUUUUGCCUGAUGUGUAUGGAUGAGAAGCUUCUCCUUGGUCCUGUCUUUCCUUGCCUUACUGGGACCAGAAUAAUAUUUUCAAAGUGCUAAGGGAAAAUUAACUGCCAAGCUAAAAUCCUACAUUCAGCAAAAAUUAUCCUCACAAAAUGAAUGGUAAAUUAAGACAUUUACCUUAAAAAAAUUAAAAAAAGGCAGCAAAUAAAUUGUUUCCAACAUACUUAAAAAAUACUGGAUGAAAUGUGUAGUAAAUCUAAAUAAAUACCAACUCUACAGUAAAAUAUUAUAUAUAUAAAAUCACCUAGAAAGUGAUAAAAAUAACGACUUGAAAUGUAAGAAGCCAAGGAUAAUUAGAAUCAUUAGACUAGAGUAACUGCUCAAAGGUGACCAAAGAAUGCACAACCAGGAAGCUAAUAGAAGGAAAUAGAAUUAUGAACAAAUACUUGGUUAAUCCUAAAGAAUGCAAAAAAGGAAAGAAAAAGAGACAUGAAGCAGGUAGAGAAGACGGUAAAUAUAAAUCCAAAUAUAUCAGUAAUUGCUUAUGCCAUGUUAUAAUAAAUCAUUAUAUCAUAUAGUAUAUAUAUUAAGAUAAAUGACAUAAACAGACUCAUUAGAAAAAAAAGAAUGUCAGACUGAUAAAAGCAAAACCAAACUAAACUGUUUGCUGCUUACUAGAGGCAUACCUGAAAUAUAAGUACGUAGAUAAUUAAAGGAAAGAAAUUACAUAUAUAUAAGCAUAUAUACAUAACAUAUACAUACAUAUAUUAUGUAUGUUGUGUGUAUAUAUGUAUAUAAAAUUGGUAUAACUCUAUGUAUAGCAGGCAAAAUGAGUUAUUGGGUAAGAAGUUAUUCAAAAUAUAGUUGACCCUUGAACAACAUGGGUUUGUACUAUGUAUGUGUGUGUGUGUGUUUUUCACUAAAUCCACACUACGGUACUACACAAUCUGUGGCUUGUUGAAUUUGCAGAGACAAAACCACGGAUACAAAAGGCCAGGUUUUCAAUGCAUGGAGAGUUAUCACCCCUAACCCCUGCAUUCCCUAAGGAUCAGCUGUAUACAAAUAGCUCUUAAAACUAAAUAAUAAGAAAAACAAUCCGUUUUAAAAAAUGGGUGGAAUAUCUGAACAGACACUCUACCAAGAAGAUAUACAGAUGGCAAAUAGCAUAUGAAAAGAUGCUCAACAUCAUAUGUUAUUAGGGAAUCACAAAUUAAAACAAAAUACUAUAACAUACCUGUUAGAAUAGCUAAAAUCCAAAGCACCGACAGCCCCAAAUGCCAGGGAGGAUGUGGACCAACAGGAAUUCUCAUUCAUUGAUGGUGAGAAUGAAAAGGCUAUUUUAAAAAAAUUAAACAUAGUCUUAUUAUACAUUUCAGAAAUUGUGCUUCUAGAGAUCUACCUAAAUGAGUUGCAAACAUAUCCACACAAAUAUCUGCACAUGAAUAGCAGCUUUAUUCAUAAUUGCCCCAAACUAGAGGUGACUUAAGAUGUUCUUCAGUAGUUGAGUAAAGUGUGGCACAUUUGUACCAUAGAAUAUUAUUUAGUGAUAAAAAGAAAUGAGCUUUCCAGCCAUAAAAAGACCUGGAGGAAACUUAAAUGGACAUUGCUAGUAGAAAGAAAAGCCAAUGUGAAAAGGUGUCAGCAUGGUUGGAUUCUGUUGAUAAUUCUCUUCCUGGCUUGCAGGCUCCCUUAUUGCUGCAUCCUCACAUGGUGGAGAGAUAACUUGGGUAUCUUUUCCUUUUCAUAGAAGGGCACCAGUUCUAUCAGAACAGAUCCUAUAACCUCAUUGAACCUUAACUACCUCUUUAAAGGCCAUAUAUCCCAUGUAGUCACAUGGGAGGACGGUGAUUAUAGCUUCAACACAUGAAUUUGAAUUAACAGUUAGCUCGUAGUAUCUUCAUCUUUUAUGGUUUAGCAAUUCAACUGCUCAAAUGUACCUAAGAGAAAUGUGGCACCAGGGAAUUCCUGUCAUGGCACAGCAGAAGCAAAUCCGACUAGUAUCCAUGAG